AUGAUUCAGCUUCCAUCUUCAUUUGAAUCGUUUUAUUCGUCGCUUGCAUCACCGACAAAAUUAACCUCGUCUCAAUUCCAUUUCAACUCGUCAGCACGUUCUCAUUUGUCUCUUCUUCUCCGAAUAUCAAAGAUUAGGGAAAAUAGGUCGGAGGAACAAAACUCGUGUACAUCUCGUUUUCGAUUCAAUAAAAUUCUUCUACUUCUCUGA